rnacentral:rRNA from 1 species
AUGGCCUCCACCGCCCAGCUUCUCGGCCACCUCGCCGGCUCCACCGCCACAGCCAGCCUUAGCUUCACGCCUGUCAGCGGCGGCGGCAGCAGCAAGGUCAGGUUCCUGCCGGCGACGGCGCAGAGGCGCCGCGUGGUGGCGCGCCCGCGGGCCGCGGUGUCCGGCGCGGAGAAGGAGAAGGCCAAGCCGGCCGAGUCCGGAAGCAAGGAGGACGAGCGCGUGGUGCAGGUGCACAGCGCGGAGGAGUUCGACAGCGCGCUCCAGAAGGCCAAGAACAGGCUGGUGGUGGUGGAGUUCGCGGCGAGCCACAGCGUGAACAGCAAGCGCAUCUACCCGUGCAUGGUGGACCUCAGCCGCACCUGCGGCGACGUCGACUUCCUCCUCGUCAUGGGCGACGAGUCGGAGGCCACGCGGGAGCUGUGCCAGCGGGAGGGCAUCACCCAGGUGCCGCACUUCUCCUUCUACAAGGGCACCGAGAAGGUGCACGAGGAGGAGGGCAUCGGCCCCGACCAGCUCGCCGGCGACGUUCUCUACUACGGCGACAACCACGCCGGCGUCGUGCAGCUGCACAACCGGGCGGACGUGGAGGCGCUCAUGGCCGAGAACAGCGGCGAGGACGGCAAGCUGCUGGUGCUGGACGUCGGGCUCAAGCACUGCGGGCCCUGCGUCAAGGUCUACCCCACCGUCGUCAAGCUCUCCCGCUCCAUGGCCGACACCGCCGUCUUCGCGCGCAUGAACGGCGACGAGAACGACGCAUGCAUGCAGUUCCUCAAGGACAUGGAGGUCGUCGAGGUGCCCACCUUCCUCUUCAUCAGGGACAAGAAAAUCGUGGGCCGCUACGUCGGCUCCGGCAAGGGCGAGCUCAUCGGCGAGAUCCUCCGCUACCAGGGCGUCAGGGUCACAUACUAA